UUCCUUGAAUCAGUCCGAUCUGUGGCCCCAUACCCUAACUUGGGUUUUCUCAGGCAGUGGAGUUAGUGAGCGCGGUGUUUUAAGGUUUUUUGAUGUCAGGCGGCAAUGUCGUUAUAUAUUCUAUCGCUGCGUUAGAGCAAAUUUUGUGUCAGUAUGUUGGUGUGCGACGUGACCAGAGAAAGCUCCUGCUCUUCCUCGGUCUUGAACUGUGUGUGGCGAGAUUUGUAAUUUUAGCAUUUCUAUUUUGUCCGUCGUAAGUGAAAGCUCUAUCAGGUUCCUUGACCAGUGUUGUGUGUUUACUGAGCUUCUGGUACCGACGAAGGUGAUGGCACUUAUUCACACAAGUUGCAGUCACAGUUUAUCGUAGUUAGACGUUGCCUCAUUUGGAAGAGCGGAGGCUUCGAAGAUUUGUGUGGAUUUUGAUCCAGCAGGAUUGAGUCAGUCGUCUAUCUUAAAGCACAUUUCGAAGGCUUACUGCCGUAUGUGCCGGCCACCGUUUGUCAACAAUUGAUGUACAUGCAUGCCGAAUUUCGUGCAGUUCGUCC